AAUUUUACAGAAAUUGUAUAGUUACUAACAAUAAUCCUUGUACUAAUAUCACAAUUCGAGAAAAUUUCAUACGUUCUCAUUUUUUUAAUAUUAUUAUUAUUUAUGAUAUAUGGUUUUUUGAUAUUUUAAAUUUUAUUAGAAAAGCUCUGUUGUCUUAAAUGGUUUUAAGCAUAUCAUCGAUAACCACGAACAAUUGACUGCACAUAUUACUAUAUCUUCAGCAAAAUCAAGCAUACUUGAAGAAUCAAAUUUUACAGACGAACAGACUUGUAAUGGGAUACCCGCAGUUUUUUGGCGUAUAUUUGAAUAAUUAAAUCACACAAAAUUUGUUAUAUUAAUUUGCUGAAAAAUUUAAAUUCUAUUUGUAUCAUUUAUAUUUUUUUUUUCUUCAGUUAUAAUGUUAAUUUUUAUAAAAAAAUAAAAAAAUAUCAUUUUUUCAUA